rnacentral:rRNA from 1 species
GAGUAAUGUCUGGGAAACUGCCUGAUGGAGGGGGAUAACUACUGGAAACGGUAGCUAAUACCGCAUAACGUCGCAAGACCAAAGAGGGGGACCUUCGGGCCUCUUGCCAUCGGAUGUGCCCAGAUGGGAUUAGCUUGUUGGUGGGGUAACGGCUCACCAAGGCGACGAUCCCUAGCUGGUCUGAGAGGAUGACCAGCCACACUGGAACUGAGACACGGUCCAGACUCCUACGGGAGGCAGCAGUGGGGAAUAUUGCACAAUGGGCGCAAGCCUGAUGCAGCCAUGCCGCGUGUAUGAAGAAGGCCUUCGGGUUGUAAAGUACUUUCAGCGGGGAGGAAGGGAGUAAAGUUAAUACCUUUGCUCAUUGACGUUACCCGCAGAAGAAGCACCGGCUAACUCCGUGCCAGCAGCCGCGGUAAUACGGAGGGUGCAAGCGUAAUCGGA